GGUUGUAGCUCAGUGGUGAGCACCUGCCUAGCGCCUGUGAGGUCCUGGGUUCCAACCCCAGGAUCA
rnacentral:tRNA from 1 species